UGGUAUUUUCGGAAUUUUCCAAUAAGGCC
rnacentral:piRNA from 1 species